rnacentral:rRNA from 1 species
UACGUAGGUGGCAAGCGUUGUCCGGAAUUAUUGGGCGUAAAGCGCGCGCAGGCGGUCCUUUAAGUCUGAUGUGAAAGCCCACGGCUCAACCGUGGAGGGUCAUUGGAAACUGGGGGACUUGAGUGCAGGAGAGAAGAGUGGAAUUCCACGUGUAGCGGUGAAAUGCGUAGAUAUCGUAAGGAAGACCAGUGGCGGAAGGCGGGUCUCUGGACAGUUCCUGACGCUGAGGCACGAAGGCCAGGGGAGCAAACGGGG